rnacentral:rRNA from 1 species
GAUGAACGCUGGCGGCGUGCCUAAUACAUGCAAGUCGAGCGAACAGACGAGGAGCUUGCUCCUCUGACGUUAGCGGCGGACGGGUGAGUAACACGUGGAUAACCUACCUAUAAGACUGGGAUAACUUCGGGAAACCGGAGCUAAUACCGGAUAACAUGUUGAACCGCAUGGUUCAACAGUGAAAGACGGUCUUGCUGUCACUUAUAGAUGGAUCCGCGCCGCAUUAGCUAGUUGGUAAGGUAACGGCUUACCAAGGCAACGACGCGUAGCCGACCUGAGAGGGUGAUCGGCCACACUGGAACUGAGACACGGUCCAGACUCCUACGGGAGGCAGCAGUAGGGAAUCUUCCGCAAAGGGCGAAAGCCUGACGGAGCAACGCCGCGUGAGUGAAGAAGGUCUUCGGAUCGUAAAACUCUGUUAUUAGGGAAGAACAAAUGUGUAAGUAACUAUGCACGUCUUGACGGUACCUAAUCAGAAAGCCACGGCUAACUACGUG